rfam:Erwinia sp. EM595 isolate E_g_EM595 genome assembly, chromosome: 1
ACCAUACUACGGUGCAUUGAGGUGGAAAGUAAACGAUGACCCAAGCUGAACUCUGGGUUAAAAUACGUAUCAAAAUGCAAAACCAUUUCCUGGCCUGGAAACUUUUCCGGGUCAGGAUACUUU